rnacentral:rRNA from 1 species
CCUACGGGAGGCAGCAGUGAGGAAUAUUGGUCAAUGGACGAGAGUCUGAACCAGCCAAGUAGCGUGAAGGAUGACUGCCCUAUGGGUUGUAAACUUCUUUUAUAUGGGAAUAAAAUGUUCCACGUGUGGGUUUUUGUAUGUACCAUAUGAAUAAGGAUCGGCUAACUCCGUGCCAGCAGCCGCGGUAAUACGGAGGAUCCGAGCGUUAUCCGGAUUUAUUGGGUUUAAAGGGUGCGUAGGUGGAUUGUUAAGUCAGUUGUGAAAGUUUGCGGCUCAACCGUAAAAUUGCAGUUGAAACUGGCAGUCUUGAGUACAGUAGAGGUGGGCGGAAUGCGUGGUGUAGCGGUGAAAUGCUUAGAUAUCACGAAGAACUCCGAUUGCGAAGGCAGCUCACUAGACUGCAACUGACACUGAGGCUCGAAAGUGUGGGUAUCAAACAGGAUUAGAUACCCCAGUAGUC